UGAACGCUAGCUACAGGCUUAACACAUGCAAGUCGAGGGGCAGCAUGGUCUUAGCUUGCUAAGGCCGAUGGCGACCGGCGCACGGGUGAGUAACACGUAUCCAACCUGCCGUCUACUCUUGGACAGCCUUCUGAAAGGAAGAUUAAUACAAGAUGGCAUCAUGAGUCCGCAUGUUCACAUGAUUAAAGGUAUUCCGGUAGACGAUGGGGAUGCGUUCCAUUAGAUAGUAGGCGGGGUAACGGCCCACCUAGUCUUCGAUGGAUAGGGGUUCUGAGAGGAAGGUCCCCCACAUUGGAACUGAGACACGGUCCAAACUCCUACGGGAGGCAGCAGUGAGGAAUAUUGGUCAAUGGGCGAGAGCCUGAACCAGCCAAGUAGCGUGAAGGAUGACUGCCCUAUGGGUUGUAAACUUCUUUUAUAAAGGAAUAAAGUCGGGUAUGCAUACCCGUUUGCAUGUACUUUAUGAAUAAGGAUCGGCUAACUCCGUGCCAGCAGCCGCGGUAAUACGGAGGAUCCGAGCGUUAUCCGGAUUUAUUGGGUUUAAAGGGAGCGUAGAUGGAUGUUUAAGUCAGUUGUGAAAGUUUGCGGCUCAACCGUAAAAUUGCAGUUGAUACUGGAUAUCUUGAGUGCAGUUGAGGCAGGCGGAAUUCGUGGUGUAGCGGUGAAAUGCUUAGAUAUCACGAAGAACUCCGAUUGCGAAGGCAGCCUGCUAAGCUGCAACUGACAUUGAGGCUCGAAAGUGUGGGUAUCAAACAGGAUUAGAUACCCUGGUAGUCCACACGGUAAACGAUGAAUACUCGCUGUUUGCGAUAUACGGCAAGCGGCCAAGCGAAAGCGUUAAGUAUUCCACCUGGGGAGUACGCCGGCAACGGUGAAACUCAAAGGAAUUGACGGGGGCCCGCACAAGCGGAGGAACAUGUGGUUUAAUUCGAUGAUACGCGAGGAACCUUACCCGGGCUUAAAUUGCAGAUGAAUUACGGUGAAAGCCGUAAGCCGCAAGGCAUCUGUGAAGGUGCUGCAUGGUUGUCGUCAGCUCGUGCCGUGAGGUGUCGGCUUAAGUGCCAUAACGAGCGCAACCCUUGUUGUCAGUUACUAACAGGUUCCGCUGAGGACUCUGACAAGACUGCCAUCGUAAGAUGUGAGGAAGGUGGGGAUGACGUCAAAUCAGCACGGCCCUUACGUCCGGGGCUACACACGUGUUACAAUGGGGGGUACAGAGGGCCGCUACCACGCGAGUGGAUGCCAAUCCCCAAAACCUCUCUCAGUUCGGACUGGAGUCUGCAACCCGACUCCACGAAGCUGGAUUCGCUAGUAAUCGCGCAUCAGCCACGGCGCGGUGAAUACGUUCCCGGGCCUUGUACACACCGCCCGUCAAGCCAUGGAAGCCGGGGGUGCCUGAAGUCCGUAACCGCGAGGAUCGGCCUAGGGCAAAACUGGUAACUGGGGCUAAG
rnacentral:rRNA from 1 species